rnacentral:rRNA from 1 species
CGCCUUGCCAGCCCGCUCAGAAACUCAAAGGAAUUGACGGGGGCCCGCACAAGCGGUGGAGUAUGUGGUUUAAUUCGAUGCGACGCGAAGAACCUUACCUGGUCUUGACAUCCCGGAGACCCUUAGGAAACUAGGGGUGCUUCCAUCUGGAAGAAUCUGGAGACAGGUGCUGCAUGGCUGUCGUCAGCUCGUGUCGUGAGAUGUUGGGUUAAGUCCCGCAACGAGCGCAACCCUUGCCUUUAGUUGCCAGCAGUUCGGCUGGGCACUCUAAAGGGACUGCCGGUGUUAAACCGGAGGAAGGUGGGGGUGACGUCAAGUCCUCAUGGCCUUUAUGACCAGGGCUACACACGUACUACAAUGGCCGAUACAAAGGGCAGCGACACUGCGAGGUGAAGCCAAUCCCGUAAAAUCGGUCUCAGUCCGGAUUGGAGUCUGCAACUCGACUCCAUGAAGUUGGAAUCGCUAGUAAUCGUGGAUCAGCAUGCCACGGUGAAUACGUUCCCGGGCCUU